rnacentral:rRNA from 1 species
CGGAGGAUCCAAGCGUUAUCCGGAAUCAUUGGGUUUAAAGGGUCCGUAGGCGGUUUUAUAAGUCAGUGGUGAAAUCUGGUCGCUCAACGAUCAAACGGCCAUUGAUACUGUAAGACUUGAAUUACUUGGAAGUAACUAGAAUAUGUAGUGUAGCGGUGAAAUGCUUAGAGAUUACAUGGAAUACCAAUUGCGAAGGCAGGUUACUACAAGUAUAUUGACGCUGAUGGACGAAAGCGUGGGGAGCGAACAGGAUUAGAUACCCUGGUAGUCCACGCCGUAAACGAUGGAUACUAGCUGUUUGGAGCAAUCUGAGUGGCUAAGCGAAAGUGAUAAGUAUCCCACCUGGGGAGUACGCUCGCAAGAGUG